GUAGUCCACGCCCUAAACGAUGUGCACUAGACUGGAGCGGCUCUGACGCCGUUCUGGUCGGAGAGAAAUUGUUAAGUGCACCGCCUGGGUAGUACGGUCGCAAGGCUAAAACUCAAAGGAAUUGACGGGGGCUCACACAAGCGGUGGAGCAUGUUGCUUAAUUCGAAGCAACGCGAAGAACCUUACCUGGGUUUGACAUGCUUGGAUUAACCCCAUGAAAGUGGGGCCACACCCGCAAGGGCGGAACAAGCACAGGUGCUGCAUGGCUGUCGUCAGCUCGUGCUGUGAAGUGUCGGGUUAAG
rnacentral:rRNA from 1 species